rnacentral:rRNA from 1 species
UGGGGAAUAUUGCACAAUGGAGGGAACUCUGAUGCAGCGACGCCGCGUGAACGAAGAAGGCUUUCGAGUCGUAAAGUUCUUUUAUAUGGGAAGAUAAUGACGGUACCAUAAGAAAAAGCCCCGGCUAACUACGUGCCAGCAGCCGCGGUAAUACGUAGGGGGCUAGCGUUGUCCGGAAUCACUGGGCGUAAAGGGUUCGCAGGCGGAAAUGCAAGUCAGGUGUAAAAGGCAGUAGCUUAACUACUGUAAGCAUUUGAAACUGCAUAUCUUGAGAAGAGUAGAGGGAAGUGGAAUUUUUAGUGUAGCGGUGAAAUGCGUAGAUAUUAAAAAGAAUACCGGUGGCGAAGGCGGCUUACUGGGCUCAUUCUGACGCUGAGGAACGAAAGCGUGGGUAGAAAACAGG